rnacentral:tRNA from 1 species
UUAAAAGUAAGUUAAUAAAACUAUGGGUUUGUGGAACCUUGAAUCGCGCGGCGCUUUUGAG